CCUACGGGCGGCAGCAGUGAGGAAUAUUGGUCAAUGGACGAGAGUCUGAACCAGCCAAGUAGCGUGAAGGAUGACUGCCCUAUGGGUUGUAAACUUCUUUUAUAAAGGAAUAAAACGAGGCACGUGUGCCUUUUUGCAUGUACUUUAUGAAUAAGGAUCGGCUAACUCCGUGCCAGCAGCCGCGGUAAUACGGAGGAUCCGAGCGUUAUCCGGAUUUAUUGGGUUUAAAGGGAGCGUAGAUGGGUUGUUAAGUCAGUUGUGAAAGUUUGCGGCUCAACCGUAAAAUUGCAAUUGAUACUGGCAGUCGUGAGUACAGUUGAGGUAGGCGGAAUUCGUGGUGCAGCGGUGAAAUGCUUAGAUAUCACGAAGAACCCCGAUUGCGAAGGCAGCUUACUAAACUGUGACUGACAUUGAUGCUCGAAAGUGUGGGUAUCAAACAGGAUUAGAUACCCGUGUAGUC
rnacentral:rRNA from 1 species